UACGUAAGGAGCAAGCGUUGUCCGGAAUCAUUGGGCGUAAAGCGCGCGUAGGCGGCCCUGUAAGUCCGUUGUGAAAGUCAAAGGCUCAACCUUUGAAAGCCGAUGGAUACUGCAGGGCUAGAGUCCGGAAGAGGCGAGUGGAAUUCCUGGUGUAGCGGUGGAAUGCGCAGAUAUCAGGAGGAACACCAAUAGCGAAGGCAGCUCGCUGGGACGGUACUGACGCUAAGGCGCGAAAGCCAGGGGAGCGAACGGG
rnacentral:rRNA from 1 species